rnacentral:rRNA from 1 species
UAAUUCUCUAGUGGCGCACGGGUGAGUAACACGUGAGUAACCUGCCCCCGACGAGCGGGAUAGCCCUGGGAAACUGGGAUUAAUACCGCAUAGUAUCGAAAGAUUAAAGCAGCAAUGCGCUUGGGGAUGGGCUCGCGGCCUAUUAGUUAGUUGGUGAGGUAACGGCUCACCAAGGCGAUGACGGGUAGCCGGUCUGAGAGGAUGUCCGGCCACACUGGAACUGAGACACGGUCCAGACACCUACGGGAGGCAGCAG